UCGUCCUGACCUCCGCUUUCUCGGCUCCCCUGUGCUCGGCUGUAGCAGGGGAGUCCGGCAGGACACACAGCAACCUCCCUCCCAGUUCAGGAGGGCUGUCCUGAGUGCAGGGCUGGCUCUCAAAGGCACGAGAGGACAAU